rfam:Triticum urartu cultivar G1812 contig5765, whole genome shotgun sequence.
CAAUUACUCCCUUCGUUCGGAAAUACUUGUCAUUGAAAUAGUUGUAUCUAGACUUAUUUUAUGUAUAGAUACAUUCAUUUUAUCCAUUUCUUGAACAAGUAUUUCUGAACGAAGGAAAUACUAG